UGUGACCUCAAAUCAGGUAGGACUACCCGCUGAACUUAAGCAUAUCAAUAAGCGGAGGAAAAGAAACUAACAAGGAUUCCCCUAGUAACUGCGAGUGAAGCGGGAAAAGCUCAAAUUUAAAAUCUGGCGGUCUUUUGGCUGUCCGAGUUGUAAUCUAGAGAAGUGUUAUCCGCGCUGGACCGUGUACAAGUCUCCUGGAAUGGAGCAUCAUAGAGGGUAAGAAUCCCGUCUUUGACAUGGACUGCCAGGGCUUUGUGAUGCGCUCUCAAAGAGUCGAGUUGUUUGGGAAUGCAGCUCAAAAUGGGUGGUAAAUUCCAUCUAAAGCUAAAUAUUGGCGAGAGACCGAUAGCGAACAAGUACCGUGAGGGAAAGAUGAAAAGAACUUUGGAAAGAGAGUUAAACAGUACGUGAAAUUGCUGAAAGGGAAACGCUUGAAGUCAGUCACGUCAUCCAGAGAUCAGCCUUGCUUUUGCUUGGUGCACUUUCUGGUUUGAUGGGUCAGCAUCAAUUUUGAUCAUUGGAAAAAGGCUAGGGGAAUGUGGCAUCUUUGGAUGUGUUAUAGCCCUUGGUUGCAUGCAAUGGUUGGGAUUGAGGAACUCAGCACGCCGCAAG
rnacentral:rRNA from 1 species